GAUCCGAGCGUUAUCCGGAUUUAUUGGUCUUUAAGGGAGCGUAGGCGGACGCUUAAGUCAGUUGUGAAAGUUUGCGGCUCAACCGUAAAAUUGCAGUUGAUACUGGGUGUCUUGAGUACAGUAGAGGCAGGCGGAAUUCGUGGUGUAGCGGUGAAAUGCUUAGAUAUCACGAAGAACUCCGAUUGCGAAGGCAGCCUGCUGGACUGUAACUGACGCUGAUGCUCGAAAGUGUGGGUAUCAAACAGGAUUAGAUACCCUGGUAGUCCACACAGUAAACGAUGAAUACUCGCUGUUUGCGAUAUACAGUAAGCGGCCAAGCGAAAGCGUUAAGUAUUCCACCUGGGGAGUACGCCGGCAACGGUGAAACUCAAAGGAAUUGACGGGGGCCCGCACAAGCGGAGGAACAUGUGGUUUAAUUCGAUGAUACGCGAGGAACCUUACCCGGGCUUAAAUUGCAGAUGAAUUACGGUGAAAGCCGUAAGCCGCAAGGCAUCUGUGAAGGUGCUGCAUGGUUGUCGUCAGCUCGUGCCGUGAGGUGUCGGCUUAAGUGCCAUAACGAGCGCAACCCUUGUUGUCAGUUACUAACAGGAUUUGCUGAGGACUCUGACAAGACUGCCAUCGUAAGAUGUGAGGAAGGUGGGGAUGACGUCAAAUCAGCACGGCCCUUACGUCCGGGGCUACACACGUGUUACAAUGGGGGGUACAGAGGGCCGCUACCACGCGAGUGGAUGCCAAUCCCAAAAACCUCUCUCAGUUCGGACUGGAGUCUGCAACCCGACUCCACGAAGCUGGAUUCGCUAGUAAUCGCGCAUCAGCCACGGCGCGGUGAAUACGUUCCCGGGCCUUGCACUCACCGCCCGU
rnacentral:rRNA from 1 species